rnacentral:rRNA from 1 species
UACGGGGGGAGCAAGCGUUGUUCGGAAUUACUGGGCGUAAAGGGCUCGUAGGCGGCCAACUAAGUCAGACGUGAAAUCCCUCGGCUUAACCGGGGAACUGCGUCUGAUACUGGAUGGCUUGAGAUUGGGAGAGGGAUGCGGAAUUCCAGGUGUAGCGGUGAAAUGCGUAGAUAUCGGGAGGAACACCAGUGGCGAAGGCGACUACCUGGCCCAUUCUUGACGCUGAGGCGCGAAAGCUAGGGGAGCGAACGGG